rnacentral:rRNA from 1 species
CAAGAUAAGCCAUGCAUUUCUAAGUAUAAGCAACUAUACGGUGAAACUGCGAAUGGCUCAUUAAAUCAGUUAUCGUUUAUUUGAUAGUACCUUACUACAUGGAUAACCGUGGUAAUUCUAGAGCUAAUACAUGCUAAAAACCUCGACUUCGGAAGGGGUGUAUUUAUUAGAUAAAAAACCAAUGCCCUUCGGGGCUCCUUGGUGAAUCAUAAUAACUUAACGAAUCGCAUGGCCUUGCGCCGGCGAUGGUUCAUUCAAAUUUCUGCCCUAUCAACUUUCGAUGGUAGGAUAGUGGCCUACCAUGGUAUCAACGGGUAACGGGGAAUUAGGGUUCGACUCCGGAGAGGGAGCCUGAGAAACGGCUACCACAUCCAAGGAAGGCAGCAGGCGCGCAAAUUACCCAAUCCCGACACGGGGAGGUAGUGACAAUAAAUACUGAUACAGGGCUCUUUUGGGUCUUGUAAUUGGAAUGAGUACAAUUUAAAUCCCUUAACGAGGAACAAUUGGAGGGCAAGUCUGGUGCCAGCAGCCGCGGUAAUUCCAGCUCCAAUAGCGUAUAUUAAAGUUGUUGCAGUUAAAAAGCUCGUAGUUGAACCUUGGGCCUGGCUGGCCGGUCCGCCUCACCGCGUGUACUGGUCCGGCCGGGCCUUUCCUUCUGGGGAACCUCAUGCCCUUCACUGGGCGUGUUGGGGAACCAGGACUUUUACUUUGAAAAAAUUAGAGUGUUCAAAGCAGGCCUUUGCUCGAAUACAUUAGCAUGGAAUAAUAGAAUAGGACGUGUGGUUCUAUUUUGUUGGUUUCUAGGACCGCCGUAAUGAUUAAUAGGGAUAGUCGGGGGCAUCAGUAUUCAAUCGUCAGAGGUGAAAUUCUUGGAUUGAUUGAAGACUAACUACUGCGAAAGCAUUUGCCAAGGAUGUUUUCAUUAAUCAGUGAACGAAAGUUAGGGGAUCGAAGACGAUCAGAUACCGUCGUAGUCUUAACCAUAAACUAUGCCGACUAGGGAUCGGACGGUGUUAGUAUUUUGACCCGUUCGGCACCUUACGAGAAAUCAAAGUUUUUGGGUUCUGGGGGGAGUAUGGUCGCAAGGCUGAACU